rnacentral:rRNA from 1 species
UACGUAGGGGGCAAGCGUUGUCCGGAUUUAUUGGGCGUAAAGAGCGUGUAGGCGGUCUGGUAGGUCCGUUGUGAAAACUCGAGGCUCAACCUCGAGACGCCGAUGGAAACCAUCAGACUAGAGUCCGGAAGAGGAGAGUGGAAUUCCUGGUGUAGCGGUGAAAUGCGCAGAUAUCAGGAAGAACACCCGUGGCUAAGGCGGCUCUCUAGUACGGUACUGACGCUGAGACGCGAAAGCUAGGGGAGCAAACGGG